rnacentral:rRNA from 1 species
UAGGGAAUCUUCGGCAAUGGACGGAAGUCUGACCGAGCAACGCCGCGUGAGUGAAGAAGGUUUUCGGAUCGUAAAGCUCUGUUGUUAGAGAAGAACGUUGGUAGGAGUGGAAAAUCUACCAAGUGACGGUAACUAACCAGAAAGGGACGGCUAACUACGUGCCAGCAGCCGCGGUAAUACGUAGGUCCCGAGCGUUGUCCGGAUUUAUUGGGCGUAAAGCGAGCGCAGGCGGUUCUUUAAGUCUGAAGUUAAAGGCAGUGGCUUAACCAUUGUAGGCUUUGGAAACUGGAGGACUUGAGUGCAGAAGGGGAGAGUGGAAUUCCAUGUGUAGCGGUGAAAUGCGUAGAUAUAUGGAGGAACGACGGUGGCGAAAGCGGCACUCAGGUCUGUAACUGACGCGGAGGCUCGAAAGCGUGGGGAGCAAACAGG